ACGCAAUAGAUACCCUGGUAGUCCACGCCGUAAACGUUGGGAACUAGGUGUGGGCGACAUUCCACGUUGUCCGUGCCGCAGCUAAACGCAUUAAGUUUCCCGCCUGGGGAGUACGGCCGCAAGGCUGAAACUCAAAGGAAUUGACGGGGGCCCGCACAAGCGGCGGAGCAUGUGGCUUAAUUCGACGCAACGCGAAGAACCUUACCAAGGCUUGACAUACACCGGAAAGCGCCAGAGAUGGUGCCCCCCUUGUGGUCGGUGUACAGGUGGUGCAUGGCUGUCGUCAGCUCGUGUCGUGAGAUGUUGGGUUAAGUCCCGCAACGAGCGCGACCCCUGUCCUGUGUUGCCAGCAGGCCCUUGUGGUGCUGGGGACUCACAGGAGACCGCCGGGGUCAACUCGGAGGAAGGUGGGGACGACGUCAAGUCAUCAUGCCCCUUAUGUCUUGGGCUGCACACGUGCUACAAUGGCCGGUACAAUGAGCUGCGAUACCGUGAGGUGGAGCGAAUCUCAAAAAGCCGGUCUCAGUUCGGAUU
rnacentral:rRNA from 1 species